rnacentral:rRNA from 1 species
UACGUAGGGUGCAAGCGUUAAUCGGAAUUACUGGGCGUAAAGCGUGCGCAGGCGGUUAUGCAAGACAGAUGUGAAAUCCCCGGGCUCAACCUGGGAACUGCAUCUGUGACUGCAUUGCUGGAGUGCGGCAGAGGGGGAUGGAAUUCCGCGUGUAGCAGUGAAAUGCGUAGAUAUGCGGAGGAACACCGAUGGCGAAGGCAAUCCCCUGGGCCUGCACUGACGCUCAUGCACGAAAGCGUGGGGAGCAAACAGG